rnacentral:tmRNA from 1 species
GGGGAUGAAUGGUUUCGACGGAGGCGGAGUAUCGCAGGCUGCAGGCCGAGAGGCGCCGACCUCGCUAACUCAGCGCACCAACAAGUGCCACGCGCACUAACUACGCGGCUCUCCCGCUCGCGGCCUAAACCCCGCUUGCGCUGAGCCCCGGCCCCGCAAGGGGCCCGCCCCUCCGCACCUCCCUUGCCCGGUUACGGAGUGUGGCGACCAAUGGGCAGGGUGCUGCGCCCGCGCCACGGUGGGCGCUCAAGACAGGCUCUCGGGCCUGAGUGGCUGGCCGCCCGGAACGUUCUGCCGGACGAUCACCGGGCGGUGAGAAAAAAGCUCCGGCUACGCCUGUAGACGCCUGACGAUCGAAACCCCCGGACGCGGGUUCGAUUCCCGCCAUCUCCACCA